rnacentral:rRNA from 1 species
AUACGGAGGGUGCAAGCGUUACUCGGAAUCACUGGGCGUAAAGCGCGCGCAGGCGGCCAUUUAAGUUGGAUGUGAAAGCCUACGGCUCAACCGUAGAACUGCAUCCAAAACUAUUUGGCUAGAGUGUGGGAGAGGAAGAUGGAAUUAGUUGUGUAGGGGUAAAAUCCGUAGAGAUAACUAGGAAUACCAAAAGCGAAGGCAAUCUUCUGGAACAUUACUGACGCUGAGGCGCGAAAGCGUGGGGGGCAAACAGGAUUAGAAACCCUAGUAGUCC